ACAGACUUUGAAUUCACAAGUAUUGCACUAGACUCUUCUAUAGCAAUAUGUAAAUUACCUGCCUGUGUCUCCUGGUGAGUAAGCAUAUUCUAAGAAGGCAGAAGUAGACUCAUUUUUCAUGAGAGAAAUCUAGAAAAGAAACAAAGUCAUGAGAAAGUAGAACUCCCUUGAGAAUAAAAGAGAAGAAGGUGCAGAAAUGGUGACUUCAUAAAAAGAUGAAACUAGCAAGCACUAUGGAAUGUCCCUUUAUAUCUGCAUGCAAGAGUUUGGCCAAUGUUGCAAGAGAUGAUAUCUUCUGAGUUAGCAAACAUAGUUUGUUGGAAGCAUUUAUAUUUUAAUUAAAAUCUUGCAUAACUUAUAUCAAUUUCCUACUCUCAGUCUUCCAUGUUGUUGUGUAGGUAUUCUUUAGAUUAGAUUAACAUUUAAAUCAGUAGACUUUGAAUAAAGCAUAUUACCUUCCAAUCAAUUGAAGGUCUUAAGAAAAAAACUAAUUGAGCUCUCCCUGAGGAAGAAGAAAUUCCAGUCUGGCAGCAGACUGGCUUCAGACUUCAGCUGCAACAUCAGCUCUUCCUUGGAUUUCCAGCCUACCUAACUACUCUGCAGAUUUUGAACUUGCCAGCCUCCACAAUCAUGCUGGGCUCCCUUCCACCUCUUCUCACUGGCCUCCUGUUUGUACCCCUGACCUCUCCGGGAUCUGGAUCCCAACACUGUCUUCUGCAAUGAAAACCCUGAUUUUCUAUAUCUGGACAAAAGACUAGGACAUAACGAGAAUUUUAGCGGAAGGAACUGAGGGAGAGAGAUUGCACAGCAGACAAGGACAAAUAAAGGGAAGGUGGAAACAAGGGU
rnacentral:lncRNA from 1 species